rnacentral:misc_RNA from 1 species
UCUUAAUCAAACAAUAGUGUAUUGUUGCUGUAAAAUAUUAGUGGAUUGAGAUAUUUUUUUAUUGCUCUUUCAUCAGCAGUACUUCUCCUUUAUCAUUACCUUACGACAAAUUAUGCUGCAAUCACAGUACUCUUGUAAAUUGACAACUCCCUUGUAUUCAUUGCUACAUCUCUCUAGAGGACAAUCAUACAACACUAAAAAAAUAAUUAAAUGUUUGAAGACGGAAGGCUCUGGUUUCUUCUUCUGUAAUUUUACCACAAGUGAUCCUGAAUUUCACAUCCAUGGCGCCCAGCUCUAAGCUUCACAUCGCUAUGUUUCCUUGGCUAGCCUUUGGUCACAUGAUCCCUUACUUGGAGCUCGCCAAGCUCAUAGCUCAAAAGGGUCACAAGGUCUCCUUCAUCUCCACUCCUCGAAACAUUGAUCACCUCCCCAGACUCCAUCCAAAUUUCGUUCCUCUUAUCACUUUUGUGAGGCUUCCAUUGCCUUGGGUCGACGGUCUCCCAGAAAAUGCCGAGGCCACCUCUGAUGUCCCAUAUGACACCGUCCAAUACCUUAAAAAGGCAUACGAUGGUCUCAAAGAACUCAUAACCAGAUUUCUUGAAACUUCAGAUCCGGAUUGGCUUCUUUAUGAUUUUGUUCCUUGCUGGCUUCCUGAAAUAGCUACUAGGCUUGGCAUUUCAAAUGCUUUCUUCAGUAUAUUCUUGGGGUCGACACUGAGUAUUGCGAAGCCACACUCUGCAAUUGAUGAUCGCAAAAAACCUGAAGAUUUCACUGUCCCGCCCAAGUGGGUUUCGUUCCCUACUAAGGUGACGUUUCGUCUAUAUGAGAUCUUAAGAGUCUUCGACUUCGUAACUGGCAAUACCUCUGAUGUUUCAGACAUGGAUCGUCUGCAAGAGGUAAUUAGAAGCUGCGAAAUGGUUGUUGUGAGGAGCUGCAUGGAGUUUGAACCAGAAUGGUUACAACUACUAGAGGACAUCCAUGGGAAAACGUUUAUACCAGUUGGUAUGCUUCCCACCACAGAAUAUGAUAACGAUGAGCAAAUAGACACGUGGAGGUCAAUCAAACAGUGGCUAGACAAACAGGAGAAAAGAUCUGUAGUGUAUGUAGCAUUUGGUAGUGAGGCGAAACCGAGCCAAGAAGAGCUUACUGAGAUUGCUCUUGGGUUAGAGUUAUCUGGGUUGCCAUUCUUUUGGGUGUUGAGAAUGCGUCGUGGCUUAGCUGAUACUGAGGUUCUGGAAUUACCAGAUGGGUUUGAGGAGCGAGUCAAGGGACGUGGAAUAGUGUGGACGAGUUGGGUUCCUCAACUCAGAAUUAUGGGUCAUGAAUCGGUGGGAGGAUUUUUGACUCACUGUGGUUAUGCUUCAAUUAUAGAGGCC